UUCUCGUCGAAAGCAAGGUCUUUUUAAAAAAAACAUCCGACAAUUGAUGAAACGCAUCUCGAGCUCGUGACCUCGAAAGCAAGGGGUUUUUUUGAAAAAAAGCAACGACAAAAUCCCCAAAAUCCUUAUCCCUCGUGACCACUCUCUCUUCAUCAGCUAAAAUUCUUAUCCCCAAAAUCACAGAGAAUUGAAUCUCCUCCAUCAAAAAGCCGACUUCCCCCAUUUCUCCUCCUCCGUCAAGCCAUCGACUUCCCCAACUCCGCCCACCGCGAAAGCAGCAUCACCGCCGAUCGCGGCCAAUCUUCCUACGAGCUCGAGCGCUCUCUCGAGAUCCCCAUUUCUCCUCCUCUAUCAAACCACCGCCUUCCCCUAACUCAAGUAAGGAUCACGCCCAUUCCAAGCUUGUUACAGGUUUUGAUUAGGAUUUUUUUGAUUUUUUUAUUACAGGUGUUUUAGCGACCUCUCCCCCAACUCCGGGUCCAAGUCACCGCCGAUCGACUUCCUCUAUCAAGCCAGCAAGCCACCGACCUCUCCCCCAACUCCGACUCUUAACUAUUUGAUGACGCUUUCAGCUAUUUAGCUAGCGAGGUCGAGGAGCCGAAGCGGACGAGCUCGUGGUCGAAGGUUAUCCAUGGCUAGAAAAAGUUUUUAUGUUGUGAAGAGAGGUCGACGAUGUGGUAUUUUUUAUAAUUGGGAGGAAUGUAAAUCUUAGGUAGAUAAGUUCCCAAAUGCAUCCUACAAAGGGUAUGCAACGUACGAAGAGGCCUUGAUUGAAUGAGAGAAGCACACACUCGCUCGUGAUCCAGCAUCCAGCUCGAGGUAUGUCCAAACAUCUGAGUAUGCUCAAGAAGAAAGAUAUCCAGUGAGGCAUAAUCUGGAUGAGGACAAGGAAAAACUUAGGGAAACUUCUAUUUUCUCUAUCUAUGCUUUUGUAUUAGGUUCAUUGUUUACAAUAUUAGUGUUUCUAGUAUGUAUCGUUGCGGUAUUUGUUGGUUUCUCCAUUGCAAAAAACAUGUGAUGUAAUUUGUGGCUGAGCUUGUAUUGGUUGGAUAAACUAAGCUGAGGAUAAACUAACUCCCAGAAUUUAUCAGAACCUGUGUCAACACAUAUUGUAUUACCAUGCUUUUGUAAUUACAGUAAUCCACUAGUUUAUGUGCUAAUAAAAAAACUUUGGAAUUAA